rnacentral:rRNA from 1 species
GAGUUUGAUCGUGGCUCAGGACGAACGCUGGCGGCGUGCUUAAUACAUGCAAGUCUUAGGGCGAGGUUCCCGUUCGGGGAGGCUGAGCAACUGGCGCACGGGUGAGUAACCGCGUAAGUAAAGUCUGCCCUUGGGUCUAGGCAUAACCUCGGGAAAACCCGGGGCUAAUUCCAGAUGAUAUCGCAAGAUCAAAGGUUUCGACUGCCCAAGGAUGAGCUUGCGUCUGAUUAGCUUGUUGGCGGGGUAAUGGCCCACCAAGGCGACGAUCAGUAGCCGGUCUGAGAGGAUGAUCGGCCACAUUGGGACUGAGACACGGCCCAGACUCCUACGGGAGGCAGCAGUAAGGAAUAUUGCGCAAUGGACGAAAGUCUGACGCAGCAACGCCGCGUGCAGGAUGAAGGCCCUCCGGGUCGUAAACUGCUGUAGCAGGGGACUAAUAGCCGUCUCGGACGGAAGCGAAGGUACCCCUGAAAGUAAGCCACGG